UACAGGGGGGUGCAAACGUUGCUCGGAAUUAUUGGGCGUAAAGCGCACGUAGGCGGUCUGUUAUGUCGGAUGUGAAAGCCCUUGGCUCAACUGAGGAAGUGCAUCCGAAACUGGCGAGCUUGAGUACGGAAGAGGGUCUCGGAAUUCCCGGUGUAGAGGUGAAAUUCGUAGAUAUCGGGAGGAACACCAGUGGCGAAGGCGGAGACCUGGGCCGAUACUGACGCUGAGGUGCGAAAGCGUGGGGAGCAAACAGG
rnacentral:rRNA from 1 species